AGUGAACGCUGGCGGUAGGCCUAACACAUGCAAGUCGAACGGCAGCACAGUAAGAGCUUGCUCUUACGGGUGGCGAGUGGCGGACGGGUGAGGAAUACAUCGGAAUCUACUUUUUCGUGGGGGAUAACGUAGGGAAACUUACGCUAAUACCGCAUACGACCUACGGGUGAAAGCAGGGGAUCUUCGGACCUUGCGCGAUUGAAUGAGCCGAUGUCGGAUUAGCUAGUUGGCGGGGUAAAGGCCCACCAAGGCGACGAUCCGUAGCUGGUCUGAGAGGAUGAUCAGCCACACUGGAACUUAGACACGGUCCAGAGUCCUACGGGAGGCAGCAGUGGGGAAUAGUGGACAAUGGGCGCAAGCCUGAUCCAGCCAUACCGCGUGGGUGAAGAAGGCCUUCGGGUUGUAAAGCCCUUUUGUUGGGAAAGAAAAGCAGCAGGUUAAUACCCCGCUGUUCUGACGGUACCCAAAGAAUAAGCACCGGCUAACUUCGUG
rnacentral:rRNA from 1 species